GAUGAACGCUAGCUACAGGCUUAACACAUGCAAGUCGAGGGGAAACGACAUCGAAAGCUUGCUUUUGGUGGGCGUCGACCGGCGCGCGGGUGAGUAACGCGUAUCCAACCUGCCCACCACUUGGGGAUAACCUUGCGAAAGUAAGACUAAUACCCAAUGAUAUCCCACGAAGGCAUCCGAAUGGGAUUAAAGAUUUAUCGGUGAUGGAUGGGGAUGCGUCUGAUUAGCUUGUUGGCGGGGUAACGGCCCACCAAGGCAACGAUCAGUAGGGGUUCUGAGAGGAAGGUCCCCCANAUUGGAACUGAGACACGGUCCAAACUCCUACGGGAGGCAGCAGUGAGG
rnacentral:rRNA from 1 species